CUACGGGUUGCAGCAGUGGGGAAUAUUGGACAAUGGGGGAAACCCUGAUCUAGCCAUGCCGCGUGAGUGAUGAAGGCCUUAGGGUUGUAAAGCUCUUUCGCUGGGGAAGAUAAUGACGGUACCCAGUAAAGAAACCCCGGCUAACUCCGUGCCAGCAGCCGCGGUAAUACGGAGGGGGUUAGCGUUGUUCGGAAUUACUGGGCGUAAAGCGCGCGUAGGCGGGCUAUUAAGUCAGGGGUGAAAUCCCGGGGCUCAACCCCGGAACUGCCUUUGAUACUGGUAGUCUUGAGUUCGAGAGAGGUGAGUGGAAUUCCGAGUGUAGAGGUGAAAUUCGUAGAUAUUCGGAGGAACAUCAGUGGCGAAGGCGACUCACUGGCUCGAUACUGACGCUGAGGUGCGAAAGUGUGGGGAGCAAACAGGAUUAGAUACCCCAGUAGUC
rnacentral:rRNA from 1 species